CGAACGAUGAACCGGUUUCGGCCGGGGAUUAGUGGCGAACGGGUGAGUAACACGUGGGCAAUCUGCCCUGCACUCUGGGACAAGCCCUGGAAACGGGGUCUAAUACCGGAUACGACACGGGACCGCAUGGUCUUCGUGUGGAAAGCUCCGGCGGUGCAGGAUGAGCCCGCGGCCUAUCAGCUUGUUGGUGGGGUGAUGGCCUACCAAGGCGACGACGGGUAGCCGGCCUGAGAGGGCGACCGGCCACACUGGGACUGAGACACGGCCCAGACUCCUACGGGAGGCAGCAGUGGGGAAUAUUGCACAAUGGGCGCAAGCCUGAUGCAGCGACGCCGCGUGAGGGAUGACGGCCUUCGGGUUGUAAACCUCUUUCAGCAGGGAAGAAGCGCAAGUGACGGUACCUGCAGAAGAAGCACCGGCUAACUACGUGCCAGCAGCCGCGGUAAUACGUAGGGUGCGAGCGUUGUCCGGAAUUAUUGGGCGUAAAGAGCUCGUAGGCGGCUUGUCGCGUCGGAUGUGAAAGCCCGGGGCUUAACCCCGGGUCUGCAUUCGAUACGGGCAGGCUAGAGUUCGGCAGGGGAGAUUGGAAUUCCUGGUGUAGCGGUGAAAUGCGCAGAUAUCAGGAGGAACACCGGUGGCGAAGGCGGAUCUCUGGGCCGAUACUGACGCUGAGGAGCGAAAGCGUGGGGAGCGAACAGGAUUAGAUACCCUGGUAGUCCACGCCGUAAACGUUGGGCACUAGGUGUGGGCGACAUUCCACGUCGUCCGUGCCGCAGCUAACGCAUUAAGUGCCCCGCCUGGGGAGUAC
rnacentral:rRNA from 1 species